rnacentral:rRNA from 1 species
GACGAACGCUGGCGGCGUGCUUAACACAUGCAAGUCGAACGGUGAAGCUCCAGCUUGCUGGAGUGGAUCAGUGGCGAACGGGUGAGUAACACGUGAGCAACCUGCCCCUGACUCUGGAAUAAGCGCUGGAAACGGCGUCUAAUACUGGAUACGAGAAGGGUCCGCAUGGGCACUUUCUGGAAAGUUUUUCGGUUGGGGAUGGGCUCGCGGCCUAUCAGCUUGUUGGUGAGGUAAUGGCUCACCAAGGCGACGACGGGUAGCCGGCCUGAGAGGGCGACCGGCCACACUGGGACUGAGACACGGCCCAGACUCCUUCGGGAGGCAGCAGUGGGGAAUAGUGCACAAUGGGCGAAGGCCUGAUGCAGCGGCGCCGCGUGGGGGAUGACGGCCUUCGGGUUGUAAACCUCUUUCAGCAGGGAAGAAGCGAAAGUGACGGUACCUGCAGAAGAAGCACCGGCUAACUACGUG